rnacentral:sRNA from 1 species
CUCCAUCCUGGCAGGAGGGACUCAGAGGCUGCCCCGUUGUCUGGGGGUGGCCCUGGCGAAAGAGCUCAUCUUCACGGGCCGACGACUGAGUGGAACAGAGGCCCACGCACUGGGGCUGGUGAAUCACGCUGUGGCCCAGAACGAGGAGGGGGACGCCGCCUACCAGCGGGCACGAGCACUGGCCCAGGAGAUCCUGCCCCAGGCCCCCAUUGCUGUGCGGCUGGGCAAAGUAGCCAUUGACCGAGGAAUAGAGGUGAGAGGGUUUUGGGUUGGGACUUGGGUCCACUAAAGUUGGUCAUGGCUGGCACGCAGUGCUUUCAGAGCUCAGACAGACAGCACAGCUGGAAAGAACUCAGGAAGUGGACUCUUCUAACAGACUUUGACUCUGACCUCGUGCUCUACCUCAGUUUACACAUCUGCAGAUUGGAAGUUUGGCCAGACGAUAUUAUUGUUUACAUUCUAUCCUCAUCUUUCUCUCUUGGAGAGAGGAUGAGAUUGAGGUUAAGAAGGGGUAAAUGAUUUGCCCAAGGUCUCAGAGAAAGUGAGUAGAAAGAACCCGGGUCUGUGUGGCUGCCAGUCCAUGCUGCAAGAUUUGUGCUGGCAGUAAUGUGGCCUCAGGGCAGGGCUUGGGGUGAUGCCUUGGGUGUAGCUAAUCCAUCUGUCUACCUCAACUCUCCCAUCUAGUCAAUCAUCACACACUGAAUCGAGACCAAAGCUGGGAAUUGGGUACAGAUGGAUGAGUUAAACAUGGUCACUGCCCCCAGGAGGGGGCAGAUACAGACACAAAUCAAGGAUAAUGGUACCACGCUGACACCCCAGAGAGGUUAGAGCUUUGCAGUCCAUUAUGAUAUCCAUGUGUGGCUUUUAAAUUAAAAGUAAAAUGUGGCCAGGCGUGGUGGCUCAUGCCUGUAGUCCCAGCACUUUGGGAGGCUGAGGCAGGUGGAUCACGAGGUCAGGAGAUCGAGACCAUCCUGGCUAACACAGUGAAACCCCGUCUCUACUAAAAAUACAAAAAAUUAGCCGGGCGUGAUGGCGGGCACCUGUAGUCCCAGCUACUCGGGAGGCUGAGGCAGGAGAAUCGCUUGAACCCAGGAGGCGGAGCUUGCAGUCAGCAGAGAUCGCGCCACUGCACUCCAGCCUGGGCGACAGAGCGAGACUCUGUCUCAAAAUAAAUGAAUGAAUAAAUAAAUAAAUAAAUAAAAUAAAAUGUUCAGUUUCUCCUUCACACUAAUCACAGUUCAAGUGCUUGACAUUCACGUGUGGCUAGUGGCUACCAUACUGGGCAGUGCUGGGUUAAAGAAUGUUUUCUACAGUUGGACUGUGGGAAGGAUAAGAAUUCCAGAGGAAAAGUAAAGUAUGGGCAAAGGCACAGAGGAGGAUAAGCAAGCAGCUCUUCCAAAUGAGAGCGAGGGAAGAAAACAGUGUGCAAGUUCGAGGCACUGGGCUGUCUGGGUUCAAAGACCUGCUCUUCCACAUACUGUUGUGAACUUUGACAAAUUAUUUCACCUUUCUAUGCCUCAGGUUUCUCAGCUGUAGAAUAGGGAUACUAACCCUUGCUGUGAAAAUUAAGUUCACACACAUGGUACUUCUUAGAAUGAGGCUUUUAAGUGCCAGUCAGUGGGCCCUAGAGGCUGGAGCAAUUGCCAGGGCCCAGGUCAUAAAGGUUCGGGAAUUAAUGGGUGACAGGAAGCGUGGUGAGGCAGCCAGAUGGGAAGGAGAACUCCUCUUCUCUGGCAAAAUGUCUCAGUCUGUCUCUUGUUUCUCCCAGCACUGUUUUGUCAUAGUUAUGAAUGGUGUUUCUUCUCUAGGAAGGAAAUGCCUUCUCAUAGCUAUCUCUGCCCAUAUAGAUGUCUGUAGGCAAUAGGGUGGGCUGGCUUCCAGUGUGGGUGAAGAUGGACAAGGUCAGACCAAUCCAGGGAGCACGCUGUCUUUCUUGCAGGUGGACAUUGUAUCCGGGAUGGCCAUUGAAGGGAUGUGCUAUGCCCAGAACAUUCCAACCCGGGACCGGCUAGAGGGCAUGGCAGCCUUCAGGGAGAAGCGGCCCCCCAAAUUUGUUGGCAAAUGACCCCCAUUUUAACCUUCAGCAUGGGAGAUGCAUGCCCUGAAGAGCAGGAUCCAGAAGGAAGAUUUGUGGCCGAAUUUACUUCAUCAUUUCACCUCUCCAGGCUUCCGUUUCUUCACAAGGAUGAUGAUGGAGAUAAAAUGACUGGCGUGAUGCCUGGAACCAAGGUGCUGAUCCUACCACCUACUGCUACCUUCCUUAGCUUCACCCUGGCUAGAAAUAAUCACGAGGGUUGGGUUUGCUUUGGAAAAUGCCGUCUCUCUACUUGAAUGAUAAAGAAUUAAAUUAGA